rnacentral:lncRNA from 1 species
CUGAGAUGUGCAUCAGUACGGAUGGCAAAAGCUGAUACCACAGACGAAGAAUUGCACAAACUGAGUCAAAAUGAAACAGAAACAUAUCACAGGGUUAUCAGCAAGAUGUUUGGGGGUAAAUACUGCAGACAGAAAGCCACUGAGUUCCUGGAUCCCGUGCUCUGGAUUGCAUUCUGAAAAUCGCUUAUUACAGAUAAAGCCCCCUUCCAGGUACGCUUCCGAGAAACAUAUGUAUUUAUGCACACAAAGGUGUGUGCAGAUCUUUUCACAAACAAAUGUCCAUAUGAUGCCUGCGUCGCGCUCCCCUGCACAUGCCCACCGCGUGGUGCGCCCAGCCGGCCACGCCGCGCAGCCGGGGAGCCCAUGAGGACAGGCUUGCCCCCGAACACGCGGGAGCCCCGCGGGCCUCCCCGGGAAAGUUAACCGGC